AUGCAAGAAGGCAGGUUACACAGGAGCAAGUGGAGGAAAGCAGACCUCAGUGCUCUGCCAUCUGUGAAGCUCAGCCUAAGGGUGACCUUCAGGAGCCCCCUCACUGUGACCAGGAGUGGGAAGCCCUGGGCCUCUCCUUCCUGUUCAGGAGGCAGUGGAGCUGAGCCUGUGUUGCAGCUGCUCCCUCAGGUGGUCAUUACAAAUGGUGGAGUCCUCCAGGUGCUGGCUAAGGUUCCGGAUUUCACCAAGAUGCUCCUGUGGCAGGAGCCUGAACUGAGUCACCACACUGAACUCACAGACCUGCAGGAGGAGAUGGAAGAAAGAAAAUCAGCAGGUUUUGAGGAUGAGAAGAACCCAAGUAAUGGCAGAGGAGGUGCUGUGCAAGAGAGCUGCAUGGCCUUUCCUGGCUCCAUGGCCCUGGUUCCAGCCAGAUUCGGGGCUCUCAGGGUGCAGAUGACACCCGGACUCCAUGUUGCCUUAAAGCAGUCCACACUGCCCAGGUCUCCAGAGAAAACCGCAAAGAUCUGUAACUCCGACUAUGUCUUGGGGAAGUGGAGAAAUAAUGAGAUUGCUGCAGUAGCAUCCAGGACUGUCAGUGGAAGUGGGGAAUGA
rnacentral:lncRNA from 1 species